rnacentral:rRNA from 1 species
UACAGAGGGUGCGAGCGUUGUUCGGAAUUACUGGGCGUAAAGGGCUCGUAGGCGGCCAACUAAGUCAGACGUGAAAUCCCCUCGGCUUAACCGGGGAACUGCGUCUGAUACUGGAUGGCUUGAGAUUGGGAGAGGGAUGCGGAAUUCCAGGUGUAGCGGUGAAAUGCGUAGAUAUCUGGAGGAACACCGGUGGCGAAGGCGGCAUCCUGGACCAACACUGACGCUGAGGCACGAAAGCGUGGGG